rnacentral:RNase_P_RNA from 1 species
CGAGUUGGCCGGGCGGCCGCGAGGGCGCGAGCCUUCGAGGAAAGUCCGGACUCCGCAGGGCAGGGUGGUUGCCAACGGCAACCCGGGGCGACCCGCGGGAAAGUGCCACAGAAAACAGACCGCCCCAGCUUGCUGGGGUAAGGGUGAAACGGUGGUGUAAGAGACCACCAGCAUCCCGGGUGACCGGGAUGGCUCGGUAAACCCCACCCGGAGCAAGGCCAAGAGGGCACCUUCACCGGUGCCUGCGCAGGCGUUCGAGGGCUGCCCGCCCGAGCCUGCGGGUAGGCCGCUCGAGCCUGCCGGCGACGGCAGGCCUAGAUGGAUGGCCGCCACCGCGCAAGCGGCACAGGAUCCGGCUUACAGGCCAACUCGUCCG